UGGGGAAUUUUGCACAAUGGGGGAAACCCUGAUGCAGCGACGCCGCGUGAUUUAGAAGGCCUUCGGGUUGUAAAAAUCUUUUGUAUAGGAAGAAAAUGACAGUACUAUACGAAUAAGGACCGGCUAAUUACGUGCCAGCAGCCGCGGUAAUACGUAAGGUCCGAGCGUUGUCCGGAAUCAUUGGGCGUAAAGGGUACGUAGGCGGGUAAGCAAGUUAGAAGUGAAAUCCUAUAGCUCAACUAUAGUAAGCUUUUAAAACUGCUCAUCUUGAGGUAUGGAAGGGAAAGUGGAAUUCCUAGUGUAGCGGUGAAAUGCGCAGAUAUUAGGAGGAAUACCGGUGGCGAAGGCGACUUUCCGGCCAUAACCUGACGCUGAGGUACGAAAGCGUGGGUAGCAAACAGG
rnacentral:rRNA from 1 species